rnacentral:rRNA from 1 species
GAGUUUGAUCCUGGCUCAGGAUGAACGCUAGCGGCGGGCUUAACACAUGCAAGUCGAGGGGCAUCGGGAGUAGCAAUACUUGCCGGCGACCGGCGCAAGGGUGCGUAACGCGUGAGCAACAUGCCCGUAUCAGGGGGAUAAUCCAUGGAAACGUGGUCUAAUACCCCAUAGUAAGUUUUUGGGGCAUCUCAAAGAUUUUAAAGCUUUGGUGGAUACGGAUUGGCUCGCGUGACAUUAGCUAGAUGGUAAGGUAACGGCUUACCAUGGCUACGAUGUCUAGGGGUUCUGAGAGGAAGGUCCCCCACACUGGAACUGAGACACGGUCCAGACUCCUACGGGAGGCAGCAGUGAGGAAUAUUGGACAAUGGAUGGAAAUCUGAUCCAGCCAUGCCGCGUGCAGGAAGACGGCCCUAUGGGUUGUAAACUGCUUUUGUAUGGGAGCAAUAAGGGCUACGUGUAGUCCGAUGAGAGUACCAUACGAAUAAGCACCGGCUAACUCCGUGCCAGCAGCCGCGGUAAUACGGAGGGUGCAAGCGUUAUCCGGAUUUAUUGGGUUUAAAGGUGCGUAGGCGGUUUGAUAAGUCAGCGGUGAAAUAUUUCAGCUUAACUGGAAGGGUGCCGUUGAUACUGUCGAGCUUGAAUUUAGUUGCUGUGGGUGGAAUGUGUGGUGUAGCGGUGAAAUGCAUAGAUAUCACACAGAAUAUCGAUUGCGAAGGCAGCUCACAAAGCUA